rnacentral:misc_RNA from 1 species
AUUAUACCCAGAAUUAGUGCAACGGCAUGCAGAACCAAAUGUACCAAUUUCUUCUCUUGUUUCUUCAAAGGAAGAGAUUUAUAACUCAUAAUGGCUUCGCCUCCUAUGAUGAUGAAGCCAAUUAGCAUCAGAACAGGAUGAAUAUUGAAGAUGAGAUUUUUGUUGGAAGCUUCCCAGGCCAAGCCACCUCUGAAGUGUAUGCACCAUACCAAUACCAGAAUCGCACCAGCGAUCGCAAGCGCGUGUGCAACAAACGUGAACGGUAGUGCUUUAACCUCCAAAGCCAUAUCUGCUCACCUUGGUCUUCUUCUUAAUCUCGAAACCAAUAAGACCGGAAGAAAGUGCGUGUGAGAAGGAAGGAACAGACAAUUUUAUCUGGUUAGUUGGCUGCGUCUGCGUUGUUUCUAUCAGCAAUUCCAAGCGA